rnacentral:rRNA from 1 species
UACAGGGGGGGCAAGCGUUGUUCGGAAUUACUGGGCGUAAAGGGCUCGUAGGUGGCCAACUAAGUCAGACGUGAAAUCCCUCAGCUUAACUGGGGAGCUGCGUCUGAUACUGGAUGGCUUGAGUUUGGGAGAGGGAUGCGGAAUUCCAGGUGUAGCGGUGAAAUGCGCAGAUAUCAGGAAGAACACCCGUGGCGAAGGCGGUUCUCUGGGCAUGUCCUGACGCUGAGGAGCGAAAGUGUGGGGAGCGAACAGG